UAAGUAGCGUUGUUGUUGGUCUAUAACAACAUAAUAGUGAUCAGUAACAGAAUUUGGAUAUAAGGAUAAAGUUGUAUUUGGAUAGUACAAGCACCAUGCUAAAUGUUGAGAAAUUAAACCGAGGUUUAACCCCAUCGUUUGCCUACCGAACAUACCAUCUUCCGUCUAUAGAUAAACAGUCUUGUGGUCUAGACGACACAUUUGAAGACUGUAGUUAUCCUAGUUAUAUAUUUAAUGCUGAUUCAGUGAAUUCCAUAGAUCCCAUCAAUUAUUUACCUAGUGUACAUAUUAAAGAUAUCAAAUUCUUUGAUAAAGCUAAAAAUAUGUCUAACCCUAAUUUCAUUGCCCAGUACAGAGAACCAAGUCUUUCUCCUUCUAGACACCCAGGUUAUAAGUUAAUGCGCCCAGAAUAUAGACCAGGUUUCCUCACAAGUCGUUCAAAUACACAAUACGGAGAUAUGGCUGCAACAUCUAGAGCUAUGAGAAAUAUGGCCACCGAUGACAUAGCUCUUUACAGACCUGGACGUAUAGCGCCAAGUGAAAGAAGCAGUCGUCCCCUUGCCCGUCAUCAAGCAAGAUUUAGAAGUAUAUCAAAUAACGAUGAUUAUAUCCACAGUCGUGGAGUUUUUACGUCUACCACACCGAAUGUCACAGGUCAUUUUAUCAUCCACCCGGACUGGGUUUCUGAAAGAAUGACUCCAAGGAAAUAACUACACACUUAUUACAAUGGAAUUUUUAAGUUAUCUAUAUAGAAAUUAUUAUUUGCAUUGAAAUUAUUAUUUGUAUUGAAAUUAUUAUUUGCAUUGAAAUUAUUAAACAUUAUAUAAACGCAUUAAAAAAGUUUAUUA